rnacentral:rRNA from 1 species
CCUACGGGAGGCAGCAGUGAGGAAUAUUGGUCAAUGGGCGCGAGCCUGAACCAGCCAAGUAGCGUGAAGGAUGACUGCCCUACGGGUUGUAAACUUCUUUUAUAAAGGAAUAAAUUGAGGUACGUGUACCUUUCUGUAUGUACUUUAUGAAUAAGGAUCGGCUAACUCCGUGCCAGCAGCCGCGUUAAUACGGAGGAUCCGAGCGUUAUCCGGAUUUAUUGGGUUUAAAGGGAGCGUAGAUGGUUUGUUAAGUCAGUUGUGAAAGCUUGCGGCUCAACCGUAAAAUUGCAAUUGAUACUGGCAGUCUUGAGUACAGUUGAGGUAGGCGGAAUUCGUGGUGUAGCGGUGAAAUGCAUAGAUAUCACGCAGAACUCCGAUCGCGAAGGCAGCCUACCGGCGCGCAACUGACGCUCAUGCACGAAAGCGUGGGUAUCGAACAGGAUUAGAUACCCGGGUAGUC